AUUGAACGCUGGCGGCGUGCUUAACACAUGCAAGUCGAUCGGUAACGCGGGGGCAACCCUGGCGACGAGAGGCGGACGGGUGAGGAACGCUUGGGAAUCUGCCCUUCAGCGGGGGACAACCCGGGGAAACCCGGGCUAAUACCGCAUACGCUCCACGGAGGAAAGCCGGGGACCGCAAGGCCUGGCACUGAAGGAUGAGCCCAAGUCGGAUUAGCUAGUUGGCGGGGUAACGGCCCACCAAGGCGACGAUCCGUAGCUGGUCUGAGAGGACGAGCAGCCACACUGGGACUGAGACACGGCCCAGACUCCUACGGGAGGCAGCAGUGGGGAAUAUUGGACAAUGGGGGAAACCCUGAUUCAGCGACGCCGCCUGGGUGAAGAAGGCCUGCGGGUUGUAAAGCCCUUUCGGUAGGGACGAAAGCUCUCGACCUAACACGUCGGGAGGAUGACUUAACCUACAAAAGAAGCACCGGCUAACUCUGUGCCAGCAGCCGCAGUAAGAC
rnacentral:rRNA from 1 species